GCCUGUAGUAUAGCGUUAAUGCAUUGCAUCCCAUUAGAACUUUGCAGUUAAGCUCGCUCAUGCUAGAGUAGUAUUGGGAUGGUUGACCGCUUGGGAAGUCCUAGUGUUUUACAUGCC
rnacentral:rRNA from 1 species